rnacentral:ncRNA from 2 species
UUACCACAGGGAUAACUGGCUU